CAUGCUAAACAGAUGCAUCCUUCCUGUUCUACUUGCCAUUAUAUUGAGAUUGGUGGAUACAGUCAAGUUAAGCCAGAAGCCUACUGUUCUAGUGGAAAAUCAAGGCGGAACAGUGACAUUGUACUGUAAACAGGAUGGUAGCAAUGCCAACAUGCUCUGGUACAAACAGCAUUACCAGAGAGGACUGGACCUGAUUCUAUAUUCUUUUAAUCCAAACACUGAAGAACAGAAAGGAGAAGCCUAUGACAGUAGAUUUGUAUCAACAAGACCCACAAUAACAGAGUUUUCUCUGAAAAUAACACAGCUGAAACCCAAAGACACAGCUGUAUACUUCUGUGCUUGCAGUGCACAGUGGUUUAAUGAUAUGAGACCGAUGUUCAAAAACCUCUUACAGAGAUCAAAUAUAUCUCUUAAAAUACAAACAAACUAGGUUAGGAAAAAUCCAUGUUGUUCUACUUUAUUCCACUAAGUUAUGCUGUCAGUACAAUGCAUUAUUUCAGAUGUGUUUCAUUGUUUUAACUAUGUAAAUACUGUACAA